rnacentral:lncRNA from 1 species
CUGGGGUACAGCCUAAGUCCAAUCCCAUAGCAGAUGGCCGAUGAUGCCGACGUAGCUCCCAUUUUGUAGUUCUCCUUUGUCGUUGUUGUCUUUGUAAUGAUAAUGUAGCUUCUACGGAAUGAAUAUUCUUUUUUUUUCUCUUUAGCACUCUGGAUGAUUACUGUUGUAAUAUUUCGUGUGGCGUUGGGGGAUAUCUGCCUUAUCCCUUGUGGGUGCAUGACAUUCGUACAAUAUAGGGAUGAGGAU